rnacentral:lncRNA from 1 species
GGGGGCCGCUGGCCGCCCGCGGACUGCGGCUGCUGCUGCCGCUCCUGCCGCUCCUGCCGCUCCUGCCGCUGCCGCAGGUGGGUCGGGCGGCGUUCUCUCUCGGUUCGGCCACCGCGGGGCGGGUCCCUGCUCGGACCACGCCCCUCCCGGGCUCACCCUUGUCCCCACAGGUGGCGCUGGGCUUCGCGGACGGCAGCUGCGACCCCUCGGACCAGUGCCCGCCCCAGGCCCGCUGGAGCAGCCUGUGGCACGUGGGCCUGUACACCCCGGAGCCUCCACCCUCCUACGAUGAAGCUGUCAAGAUGGCCAAGCCCAGAGAGGAAGGACCAGCACUCUCCCAGAAACCCAGCCCUCUCCUUGGGGCCUCGGGCCUAGAGACCACUCCAGUGCCCCAGGAGUCGGGCCCCAAUACUCAACUACCACCUUGUAGCCCUGGUGCCCCUUGAAGGAGGUAGGAGAACGGACCAGAGCUUGGAGAACUAA